rnacentral:rRNA from 1 species
GAUGAACGCUGGCGGCGUGCCUAAUACAUGCAAGUCGAACGAAACUUCUUUAUCACCGAGUGCUUGCACUCACCGAUAAAGAGUUGAGUGGCGAACGGGUGAGUAACACGUGGGCAACCUGCCCAAAAGAGGGGGAUAACACUUGGAAACAGGUGCUAAUACCGCAUAACCAUAGUUACCGCAUGGUAACUAUGUAAAAGGUGGCUAUUCUACCGCUUUUGGAUGGGCUCGCGGCGCAUUAGCUAGUUGGUAGGGUAAAGGCUUACCAAGGCAAUGAUGCGUAGCCGAAUUGAGGAGGUGAUCGGCCACAUUGGGACUGAGACACGGCCCAAACUCCUACGGGAGGCAGCAGUAGGGAAUCUUCCACAAUGGGCGAAAGCCUGAUGGAGCAACGCCGCGUGGGUGAAGAAGGUCUUCGGAUCGUAAAACCCUGUUGUUAGGGAAGAAAGUUCGUGAGAGGAACUGUUCACGUUUCGACGGUAUCUAACCAGAAAGCCACGGCUAACUACGUG